rnacentral:rRNA from 1 species
CCGGAGGAAGGUGGGGAUGACGUCAAAUCAUCAUGCCCCUUAUGAUUUGGGCUACACACGUGCUACAAUGGACAAUACAAAGGGUAGCGAAACCGCGAGGUCAAGCAAAUCCCAUAAAGUUGUUCUCAGUUCGGAUUGUAGUCUGCAACUCGACUAUAUGAAGCUGGAAUCGCUAGUAAUCGUAGAUCAGCAUGCUACGGUGAAUACGUUCCCGGGUCUUGUACACACCGCCCGUCACACCACGAGAGUUUGUAACACCCGAAGCCGGUGGAGUAACCAUUUGGAGCUAGCCGUCGAAGGUGGGACAAAUGAUUGGGGUGAAGUCG